UGGGCCUUUUAAAAUCACAUAGCGACGAAAUGGCUUUGCAGUGAUUUUUGCAGCACCGAUUAUCGUCGCUAUGCGAGGCACCACUGUAUUUGUAUCUUCUUUCACUAUUCUACCAAGGCAGCAAUGCAUUAGAUUACAAACAUGUUAUCCUCACAACUUCCCUAUUAGGUAGGACUGAACUAAAUGAUGGAUGAAUGUCCUAACAGAGAGAGAGAGAGAGAGAGAGAGAGAUGUUUCUUGACCUGAGAAAAGUGAAUCAUGAAAGGUAACAGUGCUCUGAUCUUCACAUUUCCUGUUCGGUGCUGAUCAGGUCACGACCAAAAGAAACUCUUGAACAUACUUGUGCACAGAAAAGCAAGCCCUGAUAAACGGUUUCUGAGAAUACUUCCAGGCAUCUCAAUGAAGGGUUUAUGUUGGGGAAAAUAUUGCUGGUAUUAUAUCUGUCUGGAGUCACAUGAUUUCUGUUCCUUUCUAGUAUCAGCAGCUGCCCAGGACUCAGGGAAUUAUGCAAACUGUUACCACAUCACCACAGGAACCAUAACUGGAAUUGUUGUUGGAGAUAUUGUCCUCACUGUGCUCCUCCUGAUUCCCGUCUAUUACUGCAUCCGUCCGAAAGACAGCAGAACAAGUGAAAGAACAGAUUAUGUAAACAUGAUCGGAAAAUCUAUAUGACGUCACUUCCCAUUUGGAUCCGAUCUUCAAGAUCUAUAUGAACACGACUGGAAUGACCACUGUGUACAAAACAGACAAUAGCGUGUAUUUAUGUGUUUGCAGGUUGAGAUAUUAGGGGGGAAUCCUCCUUGUGGGGGCAACAAAUCCCCCAUAGCCAAAGAUUUUGGUCUUUUAUAUAUUGGAAGUGAAUGCUGAUGUUUUCCUGUUUUGCAGAGAUGGAAACUGGUCCCAUAGAUCCUUCAUUUCUAUACCUUACUUGCCUAUAUCAGUUCCCAGUGUGUAACAGCUACCUAGCAGCUGGCCUGCAAAUCCCAUCAUCCUUGCUCAUGCUGACAGGGGAUAGUGAGAACAGUAGUCCAGAGACAGCUUUGGGGUGGAGGGAGUCUGUUCUUAAAAGAAAUUCCUGGAGCAUGAUUUGAUAGCUGCAGCCUGUGGGCUAAAAAUGUGCACUUUAAAAAGCACAGAAAAUUGCCACUUUGUUAAUUGGAAAACUAUGCUUCCGUACAUUUGCAAACAUGUAUAUAAAAUGCAUGGA
rnacentral:lncRNA from 1 species